AAAUAGUGGUGGGCAUAAUUUGUUAAAAUGCCACUUCUUCAACGCAUGAUUUCAUAAAUAUGUGCGUACAACGAGAAUUAUAGCAAAAGGAGACAGGAAAAUUGAAGAUAUAUAUUAUGAUGGUAAUGAUGAAAAAAUUGAAUGUAUUAUAAGGAAGAUUCCUUACGAGCUAAAGAAUAAAGAAAAAAUUAUGAUCUCACUAAAUGAAAUGUCCCAUUGGUACUUGUUUGUCAUUGACUUGAAGAGAAAAAUAUUUUCAAUUUACAACUCUCUCAAAGGUCACCAAACAUCAACCUACAUCAAUACGAUGGUUUCACGUUUGAAGAUCCAUUUAUUAAAAAAUUGUGAAAUAGAAUGUGAUGGAUUUACUGUCUCUAUAGACCAAGAAUGCCCCCAGCAACCAAAUUCGUUUAACUGUGGUGUCUACUUAAUGAAAUUUAU